rnacentral:misc_RNA from 1 species
UUUCCGUAGGUGAACCUGCGGAAGGAUCAUUAACGCAUCUCUGGCGGCGAGGGCGUGCCCUGCUCCGGACCGAAAGGCCGUGCAGCGGGCCCGCCCGGACUGCUAAACCUUUGCAAACCCACUGUGCACUUUUGUCGGCAAAGGGCCCUCGUGGCCCCGAGCCGGAUCGCAAACACUUUGCCAAACGAAUGCAAGCGGACAUUGAGCCGCCUAAACUUUAACAACUUUCAACAACGGAUCUCUUGGCUCUC